UGCCACUGUUCCGAUGUGCAUUCCUCUAGGAACAUGAAGGCUUUGGUGCAGAGCCAAGAAGGAAUUAUAAAGACUCAGGAAGGAUGAGAACUGAAGAAAGACCUGGACUGGCUCAAAAGAGACAUCAGUGACCUUUCAGAGUACAGCUGUAGUCCUAUGGUUGUGACAGGAGCUGCAUUUCAAGGCAUUGAAAUUCAUCUUUUAUUGUCUAUGAUUAUGGACUGGGCUGAUCCUUUUAACUCGUGCAGUCCUGGGUCUCCUUUUGGGGGCUGCUCUUCUUCCACUCAACUCUGCAGCCUUGUUUCCAUGAGUUGAAAUCUCUUCAACCUAGAAAUUGAGCCACUACAGUUUCACCAAAGCAGAACUUCUGACCAGUCAUUGAACAUUCCCCAAGCAACGAAGAUAUGAAUUCACAGAUGAAGGCUGUGGUGUAUGCCUUCGAAGAAUUCCCAGUCUUGUGGAGGAGCCAUGCAAAUCAGGAGACAAUAGAAAUGAAACGCAGGGUGGUAAGUACGAUGACAUACCAAGAAGAGGGUGUUUUGAAGCCCAGACAAGGUAGUGGCAGGACUUGUGUAAGGAGGGAAGAUCAUCCGGGAGGAUGAUUGUUAAUCAACUGUGCCCACUGCAUUCCAGGUCAUGUGGAGCAUGAAGGUAAAGAGGACUAACAGCCCACAUUGUGUGGUGGGUGCUGUACUAAAUAUGCCUUAUCCCAUUCAAUCCUUAAAACCUUGAUCCUAAGUUGGACUUUGAAAAGAUGGAAAAGGGGUUUCCAGGCAUGCUGCCUCCUGUGUUGUUCCUGUUCCCCCACUGGUGUGUGGUACUGUGUUCAUGGAGUCUCUAGCCAUGUUGUGCAGUGAUCAUGAGAACCUCGAGUGCUAGCACUUAAUCUGGAGCUAAGACCCCAUGCUGGGCAUGUCUGAGGAGAGGUAGAUGUGACAAAGGCUCUUUGCUGUUUUUGCUACAGUCCCACUAACUAGGAGGGAGGACAGCACCCAAACUGGUUUUCACUGCAGUGUCAGGAGGACAGGAAGCCUAUCCCCUUUGUGGUCCAAAGGAUAUUAAAAUUCAACCCAGCUUGGGGUGCCUGGGUGGCUCAGUCAAACAUCUGACUUUGGCUCAGGUCAUGAUCUUGUGGUUCACAGGUUUGAGCCCCACGUUGGGCUCUGUGCUGACAGUUCAGACCUGGAACCUGCUUCGUGGAUUCUGUGUCUCCCUUUCUCUUUGCCUCUCCCCCGCUCAUACUCUGUCUCUCUCUCUCUCUCUCUCUCUC